GAGAGACAGGAGAGGUGAUAGGAGAGACAGGUUGAGAGACAGGAGGGGUAAUGGGAGAGACAGGAGAGGUGAUAGGAGAGACAGGAUGAGGGACAGGAGGGGUGAUGGGAGAGACAGGAGAGGUGAUAGGAGAGACAGGAUGGGGGACAGGAGGGGUGAUGGGAGAGACAGGAUGUGGGACAGGAGGGGUGAUGGGAGAGACAGGAGAGGUGAUAGGAGAGACAGCAGGGGUGAGAGGAGAGACAGGAGGGGUGAGAGGAGAGACAGGAGAGGUGAUAGGAGAGACAGCAGGGGUGAGAGGAGAGACAGGGGGUGAGAGGAGCGAAAGGGGGGUGAUAUAUGGGACAGGAGGGGUGAUAGGAGAGACAGAAGGGGUGAUAGGAGGGACAGGAGGGGUGGUAGGAGAGACAGAAGGGGUGAUAGGAGAGACAGGAGGGGUGAUAGGAGAGACAGGAGGGGUGAUAGGAGAGACAAGAGGGGUGAUAGGAGAGACAGGAGGGGUGAGAAGAGAGACAGGGGGUGAGAGGAGACACAGAAGGGGUGAGAGGAGAGACAGGGGGUGUGAGAGGAGAGACAGAAGGGGUGAGAAGAGAGACAGGGGGGUGAGAGGAGAGACAGAAGGGGUGAUAGGAGGGACAGGAGGGGUGGUAGGAGAGACAGAAGGGGUGAUAGGAGAGACAGGAGGGGUAGUAGGAGAGACCGGAGGGGUAGUAGGAGAGACCGGAGGGGUGAGAAGAGAGACAGGAGGGGUGAGAGGAGAGACAGGGGGUGAGAGGAGAGACAGGAGGGGUGAGAAGAGAGACAGGGGGUGAGAGGAGAGACAGG
ensembl:lncRNA